rnacentral:rRNA from 1 species
GAUGAACGCUGGCGGCGUGCCUAAUACAUGCAAGUCGAGCGAACGGACGAGAAGCUUGCUUCUCUGAUGUUAGCGGCGGACGGGUGAGUAGCAUGUGGAUAACCUACCUAUAAGACUGGGAUAACUUCGGGAAACCGGAGCUAAUACCGGAUAAUAUUUUGAACCGCAUGGUUCAAAAGUGAAAGACGGUCUUGCUGUCACUUAUAGAUGGAUCCGCGCUGCAUUAGCUAGUUGGUAAGGUAACGGCUUACCAAGGCAACGAUGCAUAGCCGACCUGAGAGGGUGAUCGGCCACACUGGAACUGAGACACGGUCCAGACUCCUACGGGAGGCAGCAGUAGGGAAUCUUCCGCAAUGGGCGAAAGCCUGACGGAGCAACGCCGCGUGAGUGAUGAAGGUCUUCGGAUCGUAAAACUCUGUUAUUAGGGAAGAACAUAUGUGUAAGUAACUGUGCACAUCUUGACGGUACCUAAUCAGAAAGCCACGGCUAACUACGUG